GUGCAUCAGAAAAGGAGAGAUGGUUGGCAGUCCCCUGCACAAGGUCGGACAGGGUCACAUGACCCACUCUCCGAAGGCAUUCGCGCCCGCUACUUCCGGGCGGCCUUUUUUUCGUUUUCU
rnacentral:ncRNA from 1 species